rnacentral:rRNA from 1 species
AUGCGGUUGAAGAGGGCGAUGGCAAGGUCCGGACCAUCGCUGCAGGCAGCUGAGGGCGGUGCACGGGCGAGGGCGGCAAGAAAGUUGUUCAGCUUGCGUACUGGGACUGUCGCGGCUUGGCUCAGCAAUUCGUCGAACAGGUGGUGCGCGUCCUGCCGACUUAGCGUUCCGGCGCGGACGCGCUCCGUGGCGGCAGCCAAGGCGGCGAGGGGAGGUCGGCGCUCUCGUGAAGGAGCCUUGAAGGAGGACAGGCGGGCGGCUGGCAUUGCUGGCCGUCUCCAGCGGAGGUCGGCGCGCCAGUGCACGGAUCUCGUCCUCUGGAGAGGCCGAGCGACCGUCCGCGCGUCCCCUGACGAGGCGCACCGAGCUCGGCGCGCGCGCGCACCAACCAGGCUCUCGGGGGAACGCGUUCGGCAGCGGCGACGGAGAGGAGGCCCCGGCGCCCGAGCGGGAAGCGCGGGAGGAGCAGCGCAGCUCCGUGGAUGA